AUCUUUCUUUUCCCCAAAUCAGAUAAAAAUCACAAUUUUUAGGUCUCACAAAUUGAAGAACGACGCCUUCUUCUCCAAGUAUGAAAUUUCUCAAGAAUGAUCCUCACAGAUUGAAGAACGACGCCUUCUUCUCCAAGUCUGAAAUUUCUCAAGAACGAUCCUCACAGAUUGAAGAACGACGCAUUUUUCAAUUUCAUGGUUGUUCACCUGUGACCUACGAAAAUCCCUCAUAGAUUUCUCGUUGUUAAUCAAGGACAAAACAAAAUGCUUCAAUUAAGAAGAUGAUGUCUUAAAGCUUCAUCACAUUGAAAGGAUUUUGUUGGAAUAGGGUUUAUCAGGGCUUAGUACACAAUUUGAAUAUGGAAAAAUGCAACCAAGCUUAUCUGAAAAGUAAUGAACAGCCAAAUGAUCCUCAAUGAUACGACAAAUCCAUAUUGAUUCUCUUAAGUUAGAGAGAUUAUUGAUUCUGGAUGGGGCAGAUUCACUAUAGCCUCUCUUUUAUUUAUUCAGGACAUUAUGUGAUGAUGGAACGGUAGAAAUUAUUGGACCAAUAGCCACAACAGUUGAGGACACCAUACUUGUGCAAGUUAUCAUGGAUUUGAAUAUUAAUAUGCUUACUCUUAAACAUUUGUUACCCGAUUAUCUUUCGGACUAACCAAAUAAAUUAAACGAAUGUUAGAAUUAGCUGGCCUCAUUUUCUUCUCAUAAAUCUGCUUGCUGAUGGCAAAGAACAAACAAAAAGAAUCUUAUUAUUGAGGAAAAGGAAUGAGAAUUACAG